rfam:Ricinus communis cultivar Hale ctg_1100012285767, whole genome shotgun sequence.
GACGGUUUGGCCGAGUGGUCUAAGGCGCCAGAUUUAGGCUCUGGUCCGAAAGGGCGUGGGUUCAAAUCCUACAGCCGUCA